GUGAAUUAUUACCUCUGACCCAUUCAUCAAACCCAGCCAAUCAUCUGGUAGUGCAGAGUGAUUUAAAGCCUAUUACUGUAAGAGCUUUAAUGUCUCACACAGAAUGGAGCUGAUCUGCAAAUGUCAAAGGGGGGCUGAAGGUCACAAUGGCCAUAAAUUAGGCCUUGGCUUACCACCUAUGGAGUAAGAGGAUCCCCUGGCACGCUAACUCCCUUGAACAUUCAACCGGUUAGCCCAAUGCAGCCUGUCAUCAACCCGCCCUCCUGAACUGAGCCCCUGCCUCAUUCGGUAAACUGGCUGGCCUGUGCGCUGAGGAUGACUCGGGAUCACGUAGAGGAGGCAGCUGCCUGUAGGAAUAGCACCGCAUCCAUUGCGGAAGGUGGAAGGCGCUUUGUGGUCACUGACAUUGAGCUACUGGACUGAAGCUGGGAAGGGGGAGCAGCGCAUCCUGGAAUGCCUGUGACAGGUCUGGCUCUGUGGGAAGAGGAGAAGCGGCACGGACACAUUAUGGGCUAGAACCAGGUAGGACAAGAAAAGGAUCUGUGCAUAUUAUGGGUGAGAUGGUGAUUGAAAAGCUAACUUCUUCCAAGAGGCUCUCUCCAAACUAAACAUGGCCUUUAGUUCCCACUCUCAAAUCAAAGGUGGUCCUUUGAUGACCUCACCAUCUUCCUUGGCCAGAGAGAGCCUAGAGCUUUGCAUCCUGGCUUUUAAGAUAUGGGAUGUUCGUAUCUUAUGUCUUACAGGUCACUGAAUGAGGCACGAAGGCCAAAUUUCCAGUUCCACACAGUUUGCCUUUUUUUUUUUUUUUAGCAAAGUUCAAUCAUACAUGGUCAUUAUCUGCCUGGUCCCAAGUAACUGUCUCAUCCAGCUUUGGGUGUCCUGGCUGUUUAGGUCCUUGCAAUAAGCAGAGAAAGGGAGAAACUUUGAUGCUAGUGCCAGAAUGAUGUUCUUGGAGGCUGAAGUCCUCCGCCUACAGAACUGGACCAGCAUAGUCAGCAACUUGGCAAGCUUUGCCCAGCAAAUGUGCCUCUUCCCACAUCUGGUGAUUCUUGACUGGCUUGUCUGUUCACUAAAACCCGCUCAAACUUUGCUCAGACUGCCCACCAAGUUUUAACUAUUGUGGGUUUUGAGACAUGGGCAUCUGUCCACUGGGAACUGAAUUGAAACCACUAACAUUAUCUGAUAGACUGGGCUUGAGUUGAUGACCUGGAGAUGAAAAGCUCCGGAUCUCAUUCCCAGCCUUCUGAGCCAUCCAAUCCCCAACACCCCAAAGUCCCUAAUAGUUCUCGAAUAGAAAAUAACAGGAGCCCAAAUACUUGCCACGCAAAAUUGAAGCUUAACCCAUGUUUCUUAUAGGAGUUACAGCAAACCUUUGUGGAAGCAGAUUCGUUAAUCUGUCUUUUGGUGCAGAGCACAAUAGGUUUUCAGCUUUAAAUCACCAUUGUACAAGAACUAAUGGCCCUUACAAUGGAACUGACUGUGGAAAAACAAGCAACCUGAGCAAUUAUUUGGUGUAUAUUCCCAAUGAAAACAACUCAUAUAAAGACAUUGUCAGUAAAAUGCAUGAUUGAUCAUCUGGGUCGAGCUCACUUUCAUUUUCUUUCCAAGUUGCUCUAGUAUAUGAUGUUAAUAGUACUGCAAUUAUUUUAAUGAACUGCACUAAGGGAAUUUACAGUGUGAAUAACUCUGAUGCUGCCAAGCCAGGAACUGUGACAAGCAUUUCUGACUAAGGAGUCAGAGAUUACACACAAGAGGGGCACUGGCCUGGGUCUCUACAAACACCCAACUUUGGGAAUGACUGAGGUAUGAAUUUACAAGGGUGCACUUUGAAUACCUGGUACGAUGCUAUACAUUCAAGGCCUGACCCAAUGGUGCAUUAAAGUCAGUGGAAAGACUCUCACUGGCUUUAAUAAGCAAUGGAUUAGACACUCGAGCUGCAUUCUUUACACAUGCAAAACUCCCAUUGCAUUAAAAAUUAAUGGGAGUUUUGGGUGCGUAAAGAAUGCAAUAUUGGGCCACAAGACAGAGAACUGUUCAGUCUGAUGUUGUGCAGGGAUACAGCCAUGUCUCCUGUCAGUAACAUUAAUGGAAGGUACACAAUUACAUUCUUGCUUGAUGGGCUAAAUAAAUGGGGUUGAUUCAAUCUCAGUGAAAAGCAGGCGCAUCUCAGCUCCCUUGAAGCCAAUGGGUUUAUAUUAGUUUAAAGUGAGGGGUAAAUCAGGCCCAAUUGUUUCCCUCUCCUAGGUUAUGAGUGAUCCAGUGCAGCUCUAAUAACUGAUCCACACUGCUACAUCAAACUCAAGCUGAACUUUUGCGGGGGGCGGGGGUGGAAGGAAAGAGAG